GUCUGCAACUCGACUACAUGAAGCUGGAAUCGCUAGUAAUCGCGAAUCAGAAUGUCGCGGUGAAUACGUUCCCGGGUCUUGUACACACCGCCCGUCACACCAUGGGAGUCGGAAAUGCCCGAAGCCGGUGACUCAACCGCAAGGAGAGAGCCGUCGAAGGCAGGUCUGAUAACUGGGGUGAAGUCGUAACAAGGUACC
rnacentral:rRNA from 1 species